rnacentral:rRNA from 1 species
GGGGAAUAUUGGACAAUGGGCGAAAGCCUGAUCCAGCCAUGCCGCGUGUGUGAAGAAGGUCUUCGGAUUGUAAAGCACUUUAAGUUGGGAGGAAGGGCAGUAAGCUAAUACCUUGCUGUUUUGACGUUACCGACAGAAGAAGCCCCGGCUAACUUCGUGCCCGCAGCCGCGGUAAGACGCGGGGGGCAAGCGUUGUUCGGAUUUAUUGGGCGUAAAGGGUGCGUAGGCGGUUUGAUAAGUCUGGUGUGAAAUCUAUGGGCUCAACCCAUAGUCUGCACUAGAAACUGUCGGGCUUGAGUAUGGGAGAGGUGAGUGGAAUUUCCGGUGUAGCGGUGAAAUGCGUAGAUAUCGGAAGGAACACCUGUGGCGAAAGCGGCUCACUGGACCAUAACUGACGCUGAGGCACGAAAGCUAGGGGAGCAAAC